UACAGAGGGUGCUAGCGUUGUUCGGAAUCAUUGGGCGUAAAGAGCGUGUAGGCGGCCCGGUAAGUCCGCUGUGAAAGUCGGGGGCUCAACCCUCGAAUGCCGGUGGAUACUGUCGGGCUAGAGUGCGGAAGAGGCGAGUGGAAUUCCUGGUGUAGCGGUGAAAUGCGCAGAUAUCAGGAGGAACACCGAUUGCGAAGGCAGCUCGCUGGGACGUAACUGACGCUGAGGCGACGAAAGCGUGGGGAGCAAACAGG
rnacentral:rRNA from 1 species